UACGGAGGGUGCAAGCGUUGUCCGGAAUCACUGGGCGUAAAGGGCGCGUAGGCGGCUCAUGAAGGCUGUGGUGAAAGUCCGGGGCUCAACCUCGGAUCGGCCCGUGGCGACUCGUGGGCUGGAGCACUGUAGAGGCGGGUGGAAUUCCGGGUGUAGCGGUGGAAUGCGUAGAGAUCCGGAAGAACACCGGUGGCGAAGGCGGUCUGCUGGGCAGUUGUCUGACACUGA
rnacentral:rRNA from 1 species